UUAUCUGGAAGAGUAAGGAAUAGAUAGGUUGUCAAAUUCUUACCUUACUUCUUUGGUCGCUCCCUAGGCUCCUCCCCUGUCUAAUGUUGGCCCAACACUUGCGCCAGAGAUGAACUAGAAAGGGCUAGUUGUAUCUGGUGGUUGUAUCUGGAUUCGGACUCAGCCAUGUGGAACAGGGCGUGAGGAUCUUACUAUGUCACUCGGGCUGGCCUGAAACUUCUCAUGUAUCCUUGGGUAAUGGCAGCCUUGAACUCAAGAUCCUCCUGUCUCCAGAGUGUUGGGAUUACAGGUAUGCACCACUACACCCUGCUGCUUCUGCAACUCACGAAUAAGCACUUUGAUUUGGGUGAAUGAGUGGGGACCGGACUGUGAAAUGAGGGCUAGGUCUCAGGAGAGAUAGGGCCUGCAAGCCAAGCACCCAGAAAUUGGGUUUCUUGUAGAGGUUUAAGUAACAGAGAACAGCAACAGGACUGAGAUACCUAGGGAGCCUUACCUGGAUAGCCAUGGGUAGCAGCUUCCCACCGGGGUCCAUCCUCAGCAUGACAAGAGGGGCAGCCAGGUACUGUGGUUCUCCUCGGAUCACAUUAGCUGGAAUUCCAUCCAGCAGGAUAAAGUCAGCUUCAAACAGGGAUCCAUUCUGGAGAAAGGAAUGCAUCCAUCUCAGGGUUCAAAGUUCACGCACAGAAGGGCCAAGAGGUGUAAGACCAUCUAUGGAAGCAUCAGUGUCCUUACCGGCCACUUCUCUCAUCAAAAGCUGACUCUCCCUUCCCCAGAAGACUUCAAUUGCCAAAGCUUUCACGGACUGGCCUGACUCCACCUUAACAUUAAAAGCCAUCUUGGUACAAGGUCACAAUAAGUUCAUUCCUGGUUUCUGUAGAACUUGGGAUUGACCUUGUCCUGACUCAUUUUCUGGUGUUUGCCAUGCUCCACCUCCUCUACCCUACCCCCCACCCUGAGAAGUUAAGUUGUGGUGCCAAGUUCUUUAUGUAACCAAACACCCUGAACCCCCUGCCCCAGUCUCAUAUCUUUGGGGCUAAUAUAAACCCCCACCUUCUCCCAUGUUCAGUACUAUUUUAUCAAACCCUGCGUUAAGGACAUAGCCCUGGGGCUGGUGAGAUGGCUCAGUGGGUAAGAACACCUGACUGCUCUUCCAAAGGUCCGAAGUUCAAA